UAGUCGGAUCACUGGGCUUAAGGGUGCGUAGGCGGGCCCGCAAGCGUCUUGUGAAAUCCCAUGGCUCAACCAUGGAAUCGCAGGGCGAACUGCGGGUCUUGAGGCAGGUAGGGGCCGGAAGAACAGUAGGUGGAGCGGUGAAAUGCGUAGAUAUCUACUGGAAUGCCGAUGGGGAAGCCGUCCGGCUGGGCCUGUCCUGACGCUGAGGCACGAAAGCGUGGGGAGCAAACAGGAUUAGAUACCCUGGUAGUCCACGCCGUAAACGAUGCGCACUGGACCGGUGCGGUUUUGACGCCGUAUCGGUCGUAGUAAAAACGUUAAGUGCGCCGCCUGGGGAGUACGGUCGCAAGGCUAAAACUCAAAUGAAUUGACGGGGGCUCACACAAGCGGUGGAGCAUGUUGCUUAAUUCGAGGCAACGCGAAGAACCUUACCUGGGUUUGACAUGGCUGGAUUAACUCCUGGAAACAGGAGCCACACCCUCUGGGUGGAACAGUCACAGGUGCUGCAUGGCUGUCGUCAGCUCGUGCUGUGAAGCGUCGGGUUAAGUCCUAUAACGAGCGCAACCCCUGUCGUUAGUUGCUCGGCGAAAGCCAGUACUCUAGCGAGACUGCCGUCGUCAAGACGGAGGAAGGUGGGGAUGACGUCAAGUCCUCAUGGCCCUUACAUCCAGGGUUGCAAACGUGCUACAAUGGUGCGCACAAAGCGACGCAAGCCGCGAGGCAGAGCAAAUCGCAAAAAACGCACCCCAGUUCGGAUUGCAGCUGCAACUCGCCUGCAUGAAGUCGGAAUCGCUAGUAAUCGGAGAUCAGCUACGCUCCGGUGAAUGUGUUCCUGAGCCUUGUACACACCGCCCGUCACGUCAUGGAGCCGGGAGUGCUCGAAGUCGCACAGUUCAGUGUGCUACGCAGAUCGUGACUGGGACGAGUCGUACAGUACCGUAUCACUAGUGCGCGCUGCAGUC
rnacentral:rRNA from 1 species